rnacentral:rRNA from 1 species
GCGUGCGGGAAGAAGGCCUUCGGGUUGUAAACCGCUUUUGUCAGGGAAGAAAUACGCCGGGCUAAUACCUUGGCGGGAUGACGGUACCUGAAGAAUAAGCACCGGCUAACUACGUGCCAGCAGCCGCGGUAAUACGUAGGGUGCGAGCGUUAAUCGGAAUUACUGGGCGUAAAGCGUGCGCAGGCGGUUGUGCAAGACAGAUGUGAAAUCCCCGGGCUCAACCUGGGAACUGCAUUUGUGACUGCACGGCUAGAGUACGGUAGAGGGGGAUGGAAUUCCGCGUGUAGCAGUGAAAUGCGU